rnacentral:lncRNA from 1 species
CAAUUCUCCUGUCUCAUCAUCCCAAAGUGCCAGGAUUACAGAGCACAUGAGCCUGCAAGGCCCAGAUCAACACCUGACUCAGACAGAACACCAGGGCAGUGCACAGCUGGGAUUUCAGUCUCUGCUCUCAGCUCCCAGGUCCACUGGCUCUACUGAGGGCACCUACACUCUGCAGCCAGGCGGCCUGGAUUGAACGCCCUGCCCAGGUUGAAUCAUAUUCCAUUGCCUACAUAGACCACAUGUUCUUCAUCUAUUCAUGUGUUGAUGGGUGCUUUGUUUGCUUCCUUGUCUUGGCUAUGGUGAGUAAUGUUGCUGUGAAUACGGGUAUGCAAUGUUUUUCUUUUUUACAGCCUCCCUCAUUUCAGUGGAAUUAAUGUUUUAGUAGCUACUUCUGAUAGCACAUAUUUAAAGUAUUUUUGCAUGCAUCAAUGUGUCCAUUGUUGUUUUGAUUCUCUCCUGGAAGAGGAUGGAAAUGUAUGAAGGUGCUGUUUGGCACAGUAUUUAAUGGUGAAGAAGAGACGGUGUAACUGACCAGUGCUGGGUCUCAGCAUCCUGCAAUUUCAGAACUACUGUGAAUGCAAAAAUAAUUAAAAAAACCAGUGCUGCCCAGAAAGGGGGAGUCAUCCCUAAAUAUGGCGGCCCUGGGACAGCUGGCCUCCCUGCCAGGCCUCUUCCAUGGGGGCCCUUUUCUGCAGUGACUGGGAUUUCUUUCCAUUUCACUCUACCCUGUGUCCUGACCCAAGAGACAAGGCAUGUCUGCAGCUGUGCCCACACUUGGAGUGUGUCAGUACAUUAUAAACACUGGCUCAGUGGUGUUAGUACAUUAUAAACAUUGGCUUAUCAUGGGUUAUUUUAUUAUUUAUUGUGUAUUUUGAUUUCACUUUACUGGCAACACAAUAAACAAUGACAUGAUGACCCUAGCAAUCACAUCCUCUUUCUUGUGU